ensembl:ncRNA T20F10.10 ncRNA
AAAUCGAUGUACCUGGACGGUGAGUGUCGUGUCUCUUCGCGACGUGUCACUGUCCAUCGGGGACGUUCCAGCUCUCUGCCUGCAGAAUAUUUAAAAUUUUGGAAAAGCUCGGUAAGUGUCUAAAUUAG